GAGCUCAUUGCAGGACGGGGACAGAGGCACAUGCAUAUCUUGAUGGUUCCAUUAACUUCCCCCACAUCCAAGUGCCUGUGGGAGAGGAAAGGCUGCCAGGAAUGUACAUAAGGGUGAUCCAAGACUGGAAUGUAGGGAGAGGAUUGGCAAUUGAGGAAGGCUGCUUGCCUAGCCCGGAGUUCUACAGAGUGUUAUUAGUCCCUCAUCCGCAAAGACAGCACAUUCACCGACCUUCGUUUACUGGGAGCAUUUUCUUUCACGUGCUCCCUGUUCCUUUGCUCCAUUUAUCUAUUUUUAAAUCUCUUUUGGAUCAGGAUUCCAUUUUAACUGAACUAAUGGAAACACGAGCCACCUUGCUGGCAGCUUCGGCAGUGACCCUAGGCAAGUAAAUAACCCACAAGUCACUGCCACCAGGAGUAUUCUCUCAUUAGCUUUUCUACAGCAGCGACAAGAGAGUAUGUGGCAGCCAGCAUCAAAUCCUGGUGACUUAGUCACCGUACGAACUGGAUAAACUGGUUGGUCAGACUCACCACCCCACCAGCUGGGCCCAACUUUUUAUAGGUUUCAGUUAGAAAACUCUCUCUAGGGGGGGUGCUCAGUGACGCAUUGACACAUGCACCGAACAACGAAUCUAGAGCCAUGCCAUGGUGCCAGUUCAGGGGCAGAACUCAGAGAGGAAUGCCACUCUUUGCCCAACAAAAGGCCAAGUGUUUCAUUUGGACAAGGCUGGAUUGUGAUUCCUCUUACCUGUUCCCGGGCAACCCUGAAUGGUGUGGCUCCUUCCAUAUCCACUGGGCGAACUCCACUCACAGAGGUCCUGAAAGCUGUUAUAACACCUUCUGGUUGGACGAAUUGGUCAUAGACCAUGUUGCCAUAGUAAUCUACAAUGCUGCAACGGGCCAAUCCAUUUUCAGUUCCGAAUGGUCCCAUGCCCACCAUCUCACAGUCCAGGGCCACGAUGUCAGAAGUCUCCACCAUCUUCAGCCUGGUUUAAAGAUUACACAAAAAGGCACGUGCAAUAAAUGUAAGCAGAC